GAUUUCUGGUUUAAUGCACCUGGCCCGCGGCCACUAGGCUUGUGAGUGCCGGCGCGCGUUUACCAUCCUUCUAGAAAACGUUUCUGCCAUUCACUUGGUUGGGAUCGCGAUCUAGAUCUUUUACUUUGAAAAAAUUAGAGUGUUUAAAGCAGGCUUUUGCUAUGAAUACAUUAGCAUGGAAUAAUAAUCUAGGACUUCGGUUCUAUUUUGUUGGUUUCUAUAACUGAAGUAAUGAUUGAUAGGGAUAGUUGGGGGUGCUAGUAUUGGCCGGCCAGAGGUGAAAUUCUUGGAUUCGGUCAAGACUAACUUAUGCGAAAGCAUU
rnacentral:rRNA from 1 species